GGGCUUGUGGGAAAGUGGUUAAUCCGUCCCCCUCCGGAGGGGAAGAUCCUGGGUUCAACUCCCAGCAGGCUCG